rnacentral:tRNA from 1 species
CAUUAGGUGGCUGAAAACAUAAGCAAUGGUCUCUUAAACCAAUCUAUAGUAUACUUAUACUCCUAAUGA